UACGUAGGGUGCGAGCGUUGUCCGGAAUUAUUGGGCGUAAAGAGCUCGUAGGCGGCCUGUCGCGUCGGAUGUGAAAGCCCGGGGCUCAACCCCGGGUCUGCAUUCGAUACGGGCAGGCUAGAGUUCGGUAGGGGAGAAUGGAAUUCCCGGUGUAGCGGUGAAAUGCGCAGAUAUCGGGAGGAACACCGGUGGCGAAGGCGGGUCUCUGGGCCGAUACUGACGCUGAGGAGCGAAAGCGUGGGGAGCGAACAGG
rnacentral:rRNA from 1 species